AUUGAACGCUGGCGGCAGGCCUAACACAUGCAAGUCGAACGAGUGGCGGACGGGUGAGUAAUGUCUGGGAAACUGCCCGAUGGAGGGGGAUAACUACUGGAAACGGUAGCUAAUACCGCAUACCAUCGGAUGUGCCCAGAUGGGAUUUGCUAGUAGGUGGGGUAAUGGCUCACCUGGGCGACGAUCCCUAGCUGGUCUGAGAGGAUGACCAGCCACACAAUAACGGAGACACGGUCCGGACUCCUACGGGAGGCAGCAGUGGGGAAUAUUGCACAAUGGGCGCAAGCCUGAUGCAGCCGUGCCGCGUGUAUGAAGAAGGCCUUCGGGUUGUAAAGUACUUUCAGCGAGGAAGCGUUACUCGCAUAAGAGGCACCGGCUAACUCCGUGCCAGCAGCCGCGGUAAUUC
rnacentral:rRNA from 1 species